CCUACGGGUGGCAGCAGUGAGGAAUAUUGGUCAAUGGGCGCGAGCCUGAACCAGCCAAGUCGCGUGAGGGAAGACGGUCCUAUGGAUUUUAAACCUCUUUUGUCGGGGAGCAAAAGACGCCUCGCGUGGCGUUCCGAGAGUACCCGAAGAAAAAGCAUCGGCUAACUUCGUGCCAGCAGCCGCGGUAAUACGCAGGAUGCGAGCGUUACCCGGAUUUAUUGGGUUAAAGGGGUGCGCAGGCGGAAGAUCAAGUCAGCGGUAAAAUUGAGGGGCUCAACCUCUUCGGGCCGUUGAAACUGGUUAUCUUGAGUGAGCGAGAGGUAUGCGGAAUGCGUGGUGUAGCGGUGAAAUGCAUAGAUAUCACGCAGAACUCCGAUUGCGAAGGCAGCAUACCGGCGCUAAACUGACGCUGAUGCACGAAAGUGUGGGUAUCGAACAGGAUUAGAUACCCGAGUAGUC
rnacentral:rRNA from 1 species